rnacentral:rRNA from 1 species
UACGUAGGGUGCGAGCGUUGUCCGGAAUUAUUGGGCGUAAAGGGCUCGUAGGCGGUUUGUCGCGUCGGGAGUGAAAUCCACUGGCUUAACUGGUGGCUUGCUUUCGAUACGGGCAGACUGGAGGUAUGCAGGGGAGAACGGAAUUCCUGGUGUAGCGGUGAAAUGCGCAGAUAUCAGGAGGAACACCGGUGGCGAAGGCGGUUCUCUGGGCAUGUCCUGACGCUGAGGAGCGAAAGUGUGGGGAGCGAGCAGG